rnacentral:lncRNA from 1 species
CCCACCUGUAGGUCCCGGUGCCACCUCGUCAGUGUCCCGAGAGAUCCCCAGAAGAACGAGAGGGCUGAACAGGGGACCCCACUGACGUCCGGUCUCUAUGAAGUCAGAGCUAUUACUAUCAGCAUUUUACCCAUGAAGAAACCGAGGUUUAGAGAGAUUCUUUUCCAGGAACUGGAUAGCCAGCAAGAUGUGAAGCAGGAUGAAGAAACUAAGACUCAGAGAAGACAAAUGACAUGCCCAAAGACACAUUGAUAAGAACGCAUCUGGUAGUGGUGUUCGAGUCCAGCGUUGCAGCAGAGAGAUGGGUAACUGUAUGGCCGAACAGCUGUCUUCUCGUGGAAGAAGGAGGCCAAUGUCCAGGAGUGGCAGGCAUACUGGAACUUGGACUUCUGUAGGCCAACCUGGGUUCCACUUGGUAGAUGGGGGUCUUGCUGUGUUGCCCAGGCUGGUCUCAAACUCCUGGCCUGAAGCAGUCCUCCUCCCUUAGCCUCCAGAGUAGCUGGGACUACAGGUACACACCACUGCAACCCCUCAGUGGUUGUUAUUUAACUGAAGGGGGUUUUAGCUUUCAUGUAUCAGCUCACUCUGGAGCCAGACAGCCUGGCCUUCAUGGCAGCUCUGCCCCUUACUACCUGUGUGACAUCGGGCAACGUUACUGAGUGUCAGAUUUCUUAUUUGUAAAACAGGGAUAAAAAUGACAUUGCUGUGCAAAUUAAAAGAAAGAAUCCAUGUGAGAUAUUUAGCACACUGGCAUACAAUGAGAGCUUAAUAAACAUUGUUAGUUUUGUAAACUGAGGGAAAAAAAUAGCCACAGGCCUGGGAACAUAAAUGCUUGGUAAGCUUCUCAGUUCCCUGGAAGUCUGACACGCAAUGUGUAUGUAUGAACAAGGCAGGAGGAAGCAUGACACCAAGCCUUCCUUUUAACAAACACUGUUUAAAUCAGAGGUCGGAAGUCAUGGACUGGAGAUUCAUUCUCUCCCCACUCAUUUCUGCCCAGAGACACCUGGUGAUCUGGCAUACACAGUGCUAUGAACCUCAGAAUUAUUUGCUAGCAUUUACAAAUUGUGAGUACUCCCACAUACAAACUGUGGUAGAUGGAAUAAUGCCUCCCCACAAAAAUGUCCACAGCCUAAUCCCUGGAACCUGGGAAUAUGUUACUUUACACAGCAAAGGAAUGUUGCAGCUGUGAUUGGAGAUUGAGAUAGGGAGAGUGUAUUAGUCUGUUGUCAUGCGGCUAUGAAGAAAUACCUGAGACUGGGUAAUUUACAAAGAAAAGAGGUUUAAUUCACUUACAGCUCAGCACGGCUGGUUGGGGGGGCGCCCUCAGGAAAUUUACAAUCAUGGUAGGAGGCACCUCUUCACAGGGUGGCAGGAGAGAAAAUAAGAGCAGAGCGAAGGGGGAACCCCUUAUAAAACUGUCAGAUCUCAUGAGAACUCACUGUCAUGAGAACAGCAUGGGGGAAACCGCCCCCAUGAUCCAUCACCUCCACCUGGUCCCCCCCUUGUUACAAUUCAAGGGGAUUGUAACAAUUCAAGGUGAGAUCUGGGUGGGGACACAGAGCCAAACCAUAUCAGAGAGUCUUCCUGCAGUGUCCGGGUGGGUGCGGCAUGUUCAUAGGGUCUUAGAAGAGGGAAGCAAGAGGUGAGAGGACAGAAAUGCCACAUUGCUGGCUUUGAGGGUGGGGCCAGAGGAGGGACCUGCAGGCAGAGAUAGAGCUGGAAAUGGAAAGGAAACCUUCUCCCUUAGAGUCUCCAGAAGAAGUGCAGCCCUACAGACCUGUGUUAGGCUUCAGACCUCCAGAAUUGUAAAAUAAUAAAAUUGCAUUAUUUUAAGCCACUCGAGGCCCAUGUCCUCAACAAAGAGAAAGACGGUGGGGUGCUGUCAGCCAGGGUAGGUACCUGCUUGGUGGUCUGGGUCCUUUCCCACUGUGUCCAUUCAGUUACAUUACCUGCCCAUCUGCUGAGGCCUCGAGUUUGGGACCUCAGGUUUAUAUAAUUCCUUGCACAAGCAUGAUCGAUUGAUUCCGGAGAGUAGCAGAACACUGAUAUGCAGGGGAAUCUCCUAGUUCCAAGUGUGAGUUGUAGUCUAGACACUUCCUGUU